rnacentral:rRNA from 1 species
AUGCAGGAUUAUAGCACGGAAGAAAGGUCAAGAGAAAUGGAUUUAUUAAGACUCUUUCCUUACUGGCUUGAUACUAAUCAAUGGAAUGCAAUACUGAACGAUGUUAACAUUCCCUCUUUGUUUAUUCUGACUGGUCCAACUGGUGGAGGCCUAUGCUACUUGAGCUGA